rnacentral:rRNA from 1 species
UACGGGGGGGGGCAAGCGUUGUUCGGAAUUACUGGGCGUAAAGGGCGCGUAGGCGGCCUGCUAAGUCACACGUGAAAUCCCUCGGCUCAACCGGGGAACUGCGUGUGAUACUGGCGGGCUUGAAUUCGGGAGAGGGAUGUGGAAUUCCAGGUGUAGCGGUGAAAUGCGUAGAUAUCGGGAGGAACACCAAUGGCGAAGGCAGCUUGCUGGGACGGUACUGACGCUGAGGUGCGAAAGCGUGGGGAGCAAACAGGG